rnacentral:rRNA from 1 species
AUUGAACGCUGGCGGCAUGCUUUACACAUGCAAGUCGAACGGUAACAGGCCUUCGGGUGCUGACGAGUGGCGAACGGGUGAGUAAUGCAUCGGAACGUACCCAGAGGUGGGGGAUAACGCAGCGAAAGCUGUGCUAAUACUGCAUGUGAUCUGAGGAUGAAAGCGGGGGACCGAGCAGCAAUGUUUGGCCUCGCGCCUUUGGAGCGGCCGAUGUCGGAUUAGCUAGUUGGUGGGGUAAAGGCCUACCAAGGCGACGAUCCGUAGCUGGUCUGAGAGGACGAACAGCCACACUGGGACUGAGACACGGCCCAGACUCCUACGGGAGGCAGCAGUGGGGAAUUUUGGACAAUGGGCGCAAGCCUGAUCCAGCAAUGCCGCGUGCGGGAAGAAGGCCUUCGGGUUGGAAACCGCUUUUGGCAGGAACGAAACGGUGUCCGCUAAUACCGGGCGCUAAUGACGGUACCUGCAGAAUAAGCACCGGCUAACUACGUG